UAACUCAGGUUUCUCUUCAGAUCGUAUAUAUUUUUCACCUUCUACUAAAGAUUUCCGUGGAGAGAACCAAGUACGAGUCAUAACAAAAUUUCGUGGCUUAAGAAAGAGCAAAUGCUUAG